GGUGGAGGGGAUCACAGGCCCCUCGAUUGAGCUCUUGGGGGCCACAGACCUGUUCUCUAGAAAUAGAGCCCAACCCAUGCCCCAAGCUAAGAACCCUCAAUCCAUUCUGUGCCCUGAAUAUUACGUUGAGUCAUAUGAAAUGGCUGAUUUUCGACCUAUUAAGACGGCAGUUUCAAAAGGUUCAACUAAUACUUGUCACAUCCGAUCGUCCUGGCCACCCUCUCUUGCCGGAAGCCGCCCGUGGUCUUGAUCGCAGCCCCGCCCCGCGGCCCACGCCAUCCUUCCUCUCCCCCUGUCCUUAGAAAACCCUACAUUUCCCCUUAGCCAUACUUUUCUCCGCGAUUGCUACAUUUCUUUACCUAGUUCUGCACUUGCUUGAUUUCUGUCUCUUCCCUCUCCACCGAGACCCCCAGUGGCAGGAGUAAGUGUAAUUGGUGCAUUGCUACGCCGCCAGCACCCGAACACCGGGCAUACAGCAGUGACUCCAUGUGAACUUACCUACUGAACCAACUCAUAAUCUGCUCCAUUCCGCUGAAACGUCUACGAAGCGGAACAACCCAGCUUGGUCUUGAGGCACAGCCUGCCACACAGCCCGCCACAGUGACAGCGACAGAAAGGACUUGGAUAAUGGCAAUGGCGUCUGACUGCUUCGGUGGUGCCCUCGCUGCUCCCUGGUGUUAUUGUGAUUCAGCCUUCCACCAGUGCUGCAAAGUGGAGAGAGCGCCAGCUCCAUUCAUCAGACGAGGAAACUGAGGCUUGGAGGGGAAGUGCUUGCUUGAAGUCCCCCAGACCAGGAAGCCCUAGACUUACUGCCCUGCGCCUUUCUUACAAAGGAUUGGCAGCAAAGACGGACUGAUAGGGAAGGCGUCACUGGGGUGUGGGGAGAGGUAGGGAGGACUUCAGCAAAGCCCCCAUGUCAGCAGCUCCCCUCGCAAACAGGACCCCGGGGCUGCCCUUACCAGCAGUCCUCUUCAGCAUCUGGUGCAUGGCUGUUAUCAGCUAAGCCUGGGUCCCGGUUCCCCGAGAAUGCUUCAGUGGGUGUCUUAAGAUGUUGAAUCAGAGAAGUCACUGGAGGCUGCUCUGCUUUGUUGUCUACUCUAGGAGGAACCAGGACUGGGCUUUCACUGAGUGAGGAUGUUUAUUGUCUAACAAUAGAUGUUAACGUUGUCAACAUCCUCAUCUCCGGGAUGAAAAAAACAGGCCCAGAAAUGUCAGGUGACAUGCCCGAGGCCCCCAGCAGGGGAAAGAUAGGGCCAGCAUUCAAGCCCUGUGGGUGGGCUGGUUCUGUCACAUUGGCUAGGGAUCAAACGCAGUUUGGGAAGCCCCAACAUUCUGUUCCAUUUUCCUGAUUUUAUGGAUGAGGGAAUGAGGCCCGGAGAAGGUCAGAAAGUUGCCCAAGGCCACACAGUGAUCUCCAGAGAAUAUAUGAGGUCAGAAAGGACCCUGGGAGUCUCUCUCGACCAGAUCUCCUCCUAACAACACUUUUAGUUAGGAGAGAUUGGGAGCAGGAUUCCAGUCAUCCACAUGGCCUGCCUUCUCCCUGCAGCCAAAGAGCUUGGGCUGCAGGCAGAUGGAAGCCACGUUUACCCCGCCAGGCCUCUGUGAGCUCACUGUCUAGGCAUCCAAGGCUCCGGAUCCCAAACCCACAUGUCCUUGAGAAGCAUGGGAAAUGGGGUGGCCCUGGAGACUCAGUUGGAGGGGAACAGCCCCCCGCUGGCAGCUUUGUGGCCAUCCCACCCUAACUUUCCAGGGUUCCUGUCUUUGGCCAGCCCCCCGCACAACCCCUGCCCUUGCUGACUCAGGCAGGAAACCAGCCCGGGUAGUUUCGCUUCCUGGUUCUGACUGAUGCAGCCCCUCUGGCCUGCCCAACUGGCAAGAUUUACUUCUUUCGUUUCUUCCCUUUCGGAACACAGGUUCAUGGGCUAAGCGUCAGGGCCUCGUUGGGAGAAGUGGGCAUUCAGGCGGAGGGGGAUGGCGGAAGCAGGAGAGGAAAGGCUGAAAAAGCCACAUCUAGUGACUUCUCUGGCCCUGUGGGGAGGGCCAGUGUGCCAGGCAAGAGAGGACAGGCUGAGUGGCUAGUCUUGCUCUCCACUCUCUGGACAAAGGCAGCUCUCACAGCCCUCAGGCUCCAGAAGUCUCCACACUGAGCAAGGGGGUGUUAGGGUCCCCAUUUUACAGAUGGGCAAACAGAAGUUCAGAGAGGUGACAGGACUUGCUGAAGAUCACACACCCAGGAAGGGGCCGAAACUGGCACUGCACUCAAGGUGUAGGUAUUUUUCAGAGUCUGGGGCUCUCGGUUUCAGCCCCAGUGCUGGGCUUCUGUAGACAGGUGAAGGAGCAAGCAUAGAGGGAAAAGUCAUGCAGGGCAGUGAGGCUACUUGGGGAGGCCGAGGGGGUGGGGAGAAGGGGGAACAAGUGGGUUGACAUUCCAGACCUCAUACCUGUUGCGCCUGAAUGCCCUUCCUCGCCCCUGGGGUCCUCCUCAAAAGUCAUCCGGAGGGUUAGAGGGACAAAGGGAGGUGGUUUACAGGUGUCCCUGGCCCAUCUGGGCACCACUGGCCUCGGUGGGGUUGGCCUGAUUUCCUUGUGCCUCCUGGUGGCCCAGGGAGGCACCAGAAGACAGUUGGAGCUCACCGUGUCCCAGUGCUCGCUCUUCUGAGAUUCCAGAUAAAGGUUAACGAAUAAUUUCCAGAAGAGGGAAUAAUCAUGAUUCUCACAGGCACAUAAAGAUGGACACAGGUUAACAUUUUUAUUGAACUCACGUGGGAACGAGGCAGAUGUUAUACGGCUCAAAGAGAGUCUGGAGAGCAGGCACUUCACAUUAUCAGACUAUUUGCGCAAAUAAACGUGCAGAUGGGGGCAAAUUGUUUUUUUCUGUAGUGGAGGAGGGUUGUCCACGAGACCUCUGCUGGCCAGAAUGGAAUUUGCAUGUCUACAGAUAAGUGGUUUUAUAUUGCUAUCAGUUGCUUACAAUUUACAGAACUGAGAUUUCAAAGACAAUGCUAUGAAUCAGAUAAACCGGAAGGGUGUGUUGCAUAGAGAUGAUGCACUGAAUAAUCAGAACUGAUUCAUUGAAAUGCAAAAUUUUCCUCGCAAAAAAAAGGGAAAGAAUUCUUAACUUCCUUCAUUCAAUGAACACCUGUUCAUUAAGCACCUCCUGCACCGUCCUAGGUGUUGGGGACACAGCGGUGGACAAAGACCCAGAGAAAAGCCUAGAGCCAUGUGGAGUGACCACUGCCGGGGGUGGAGGUGCGGGAGGGCAGAGGAAGGGUCUCUGAGGGGACGUCCGGGAGGGGGAGGGAACCAUAGCAGAAGCGUGGGAGGGGGGGUUGUUUUGCAGGGGGCAGCCUUGGCUGGCUUUCCCAGUUUUCUGUUUUCCCUACUAGGAUGCCAGUCCUCAGCUCUCCCUUGCUGAGGCUGGCACGGAACAGGUGUACAAUCAAUCUGCUCAGUGGGCAGAGGGGGUCCAUCUCAAAAGGCAGAAGCUACUCACUGCCUGCUUAGGGGAGAUGCUGCUGCGCUGUGGGCAGAUGGCACAGGCAUUGGGGUUGCCUGAGUGGGCUAAAGGAAGGGUGUGCAGGACACACGCCUGAACGCAGCCCUGCCCUCCAGUCCUGCAGCUCCUUUCCCCAAGCCCACCCCAGCUGAAACCUGAGCAUUGGGUCUGGGGAAACUCCAGGACAGUCUUUCCAUCGGUUUGGGCACAGCUGCUGAAAGUUCUGGUAUUUCAAAAUGUAAAUCCGUAUUGUGUGAAAUUGCUCACUGUAUGUAGAAAACCAAUUUUUUUUUUUUU